UAAUAGAUACCCAGGUAGUCCACGCCCUAAACGAUGCGAACUGGAUGUUGGGUACAUUACGGUACUCAGUGUCGAAGCUAACGCGUUAAGUUCGCCGCCUGGGGAGUACGGUCGCAAGACUGAAACUCAAAGGAAUUGACGGGGGGCCCGCACAAGCGGUGGAGUAUGUGGUUUAAUUCGAUGCAACGCGAAGAACCUUACCUGGCCUUGACAUCUGUCGAAUCCUGCAGAGAUGCGGGAGUGCCGCAAGGAACGACAAGACAGGUGCUGCAUGGCUGUCGUCAGCUCGUGUCGUGAGAUGUUGGGUUAAGUCCCGCAACGAGCGUAACCCUUCGUCCCUAGUUGCCAGCACGUAAUAGGUGGGAACGUCUAGGGAGACUGCCGGUGACAAACCGGAGGAAGGUGGGGAUGACGUCAAGUCCUCAUGGCCCUUACGGCCAGGGCUACACACGUACUACAAUGGUCGGUACAGAGGGUUGCGAAGCCGCGAGGUGAAGCCAAUCCCAGAAGACCGAUCCCAGUCCGGAUUGGAGU
rnacentral:rRNA from 1 species